GAUCAAAUAGUUUAUAUAGAACUUAGCACUGAAGAUGCUUCAGAGGCAUCGACGCCUUUGAUCA
rnacentral:tRNA from 1 species